rnacentral:rRNA from 1 species
UACGUAGGGUGCAAGCGUUGUCCGGAAUUAUUGGGCGUAAAGAGCUCGUAGGCGGUCUGUCGCGUCUGCUGUGAAAACUCAGGGCUUAACCCUGAGCUUGCAGUGGGUACGGGCAGACUAGAGUGCGGUAGGGGAGACUGGAAUUCCUGGUGUAGCGGUGAAAUGCGCAGAUAUCAGGAGGAACACCGGUGGCGAAGGCGGGUCUCUGGGCCGGUACUGACGCUGAGGUGCGAAAGCGUGGGGAGCAAACAGG